rnacentral:rRNA from 1 species
UACGUAGGGUGCGAGCGUUAAUCGGAAUUACUGGGCGUAAAGCGUGCGCAGGCGGUUCGUUAAGUCAGCUGUGAAAGCCCCCGGGCUCAACCUGGGAAUUGCGGUUGAAACUGGCGGACUAGAAUCUGGCAGAGGGGGGGUGGAAUUCCACGUGUAGCAGUGAAAUGCGUAGAGAUGUGGAGGAACACCGAUGGCGAAGGCAGCCCCCUGGGCUGAGAUUGACGCUCAGGCACGAAAGCGUGGGGAGCAAACAGG